GGAUCGGUAGUUUAGUAGGUUAGAAUAUCGGCCUGUCGCGCCGAAGGUCGCGGGUUCGACUCCCGUCCGAUCCG
rnacentral:tRNA from 1 species